AAUCCCAUAGGAUUUUAUUUUGUCCCAUGGGAUAUUAAAAAAUCCCAUGGGAUAAUAAUAUCCCAUGGGAUU
rnacentral:sRNA from 1 species